CAUGGCUCAGGAUGAACGCUAGCUACAGGCCUAACACAUGCAAGUCGAGGGGCAGCAUGGAAGAAGCUUGCUCCUUCUGAUGGCGACCGGCGCACGGGUGCGUAACGCGUAUCAAACCUGCCUCAUACUCGGGGAUAGCCUUGCGAGAGUAAGACUAAUACCCGAUGUUAUUAGUUUACCGCAUGGUGGACUAAUCAAAGAUUUAUCGGUAUGGGAUGGUGAUGCGUCCGAUUAGGUAGUAGGCGGGGUAACGGCCCACCUAGCCUUCGAUCGGUAGGGGUUCUGAGAGGACGAUCCCCCACACUGGGACUGAGACACGGUCCAGACUCCUACGG
rnacentral:rRNA from 1 species